rnacentral:lncRNA from 1 species
GUGACCUCUGUGGUUAGUUCAUCUGGAUUCCGUCAGUAAUAGGGGAAAACAUUAGCUGAUUGUGCACACUAUGUAUGCGGGAGGAGUAGGUUGCUUGAAUGGAGUCACAACGUCAUGGUAAUCUGCUCCUGGCAGAAACUGCGAUGGAUUUGGUUAGUUUUGACUGAGUUUCUGAAUCAGAGCAACCACCGUGUCUUCAGAACACUCAAGGCAUCCCUAUGGAGACAGCUCAAGGCAGCAAACUGAGGCAUCAACCACCAGGCCAGUGAGUAAAUGUGUCUUCAGAUGCAGUCCCAGCUGAAGCCAUGUCUGCAACCUUACCAUGACCCUGAGUCAGAAACAUCCAGCCGAG